rnacentral:rRNA from 1 species
AUUGAACGCUGGCGGCAUGCCUAACACAUGCAAGUCGAACGAGUAGCGGACGGGUGAGUAAUGUCUGGGAACGUGCCUGAUGGAGGGGGAUAACUACUGGAAACGGUAGCUAAUACCGCAUACCAUCGGAUGUGCCCAUAUGGGAUUAGCUAGUAGGUGAGGAAAAGGCUCACCAAGGCGACGAUCCCUAGCUGGUCUGAGAGGCUGACCGGCCACACUGGAACUGAGACACGGCCCAGACUCCUACGGGAGGCAGCAGUGGGGAAUAUUGCACAAUGGGCGAAAGCCUGAUCCAGCCACGCCGCGUGGAUGAAGAAGGCCUUCGGGUCGUAAAGUACUGUCAGCGGGGAGGCGGUAUCUGCAGAGGAAGCACCGGCUAACUCCGUGCCAGCCGCCGCGGUAAUAC